rnacentral:rRNA from 1 species
GUCCAUGCCGUAAACGUUGGGCACUAGGUGUGGGGCUCAUUCCACGAGUUCCGUGCCGCAGCAAACGCAUUAAGUGCCCCGCCUGGGGAGUACGGCCGCAAGGCUAAAACUCAAAGGAAUUGACGGGGGCCCGCACAAGCGGCGGAGCAUGCGGAUUAAUUCGAUGCAACGCGAAGAACCUUACCAAGGCUUGACAUACACCGGAAACUUCCAGAGAUGGUUGCCCCGCAAGGUCGGUGUACAGGUGGUGCAAUGGUUGUCGU